CUCGUAGGUGGCCAACUAAGUCAUACGUGAAAUCCCUCGGCUUAACCGGGGAACUGCGUCUGAUACUGGAUGGCUUGAGUUUGGGAGAGGGAUGCGGAAUUCCAGGUGUAGCGGUGAAAUGCGUAGAUAUCUGGAGGAACACCGGUGGCGAAGGCGGCAUCCUGGACCAAUACUGACACUGAGGAGCGAAAGCCAGGGGAGCAAACG
rnacentral:rRNA from 1 species